CAGAGAGUAGCUUGCUACUGUGUGCUGACGAGCGGCGGACGGGUGAGUAAUGCUUGGGAACAUGCCUUGAGGUGGGGGACAACAGUUGGAAACGACUGCUAAUACCGCAUAAUGUCUACGGACCAAAGGGGGCUUCGGCUCUCGCCUUUAGAUUGGCCCAAGUGGGAUUAGCUAGUUGGUGAGGUAAUGGCUCACCAAGGCGACGAUCCCUAGCUGGUUUGAGAGGAUGAUCAGCCACACUGGGACUGAGACACGGCCCACACUCCUACGGGAGGCAGCAGUGGGGAAUAUUGCACAAUGGGCGCAAGCCUGAUGCAGCCAUGCCGCGUGUGUGAAGAAGGCCUUCGGGUUGUAAAGCACUUUCAGUCAGGAGGAAAGGUUAGUAGUUAAUACCUGCUAGCUGUGACGUUACUGACAGAAGAAGCACCGGCUAACUCCGUGCCAGCAGCCGCGGUAAUACGGAGGGUGCGAGCGUUAAUCGGAAUUACUGGGCGUAAAGCGUACGCAGGCGGUUUGUUAAGCGAGAUGUGAAAGCCCCGGGCUCAACCUGGGAACUGCAUUUCGAACUGGCAAACUAGAGUGUGAUAGAGGGUGGUAGAAUUUCAGGUGUAGCGGUGAAAUGCGUAGAGAUCUGAAGGAAUACCGAUGGCGAAGGCAGCCACCUGGGUCAACACUGACGCUCAUGUACGAAAGCGUGGGGAGCAUACAGGAUUAGAUACCCUGGUAGUCCACGCC
rnacentral:rRNA from 1 species